UGUAAGCGUAUACCAAAGUUGUUGCAGUUAAAACGCUCGUAGUCGGAAUUUGGCAGUUCCGGAUGUGUGCACGUCGUGUGCGCACUUCGCGGGGAUUGCUUUUGUGGUCUUGCGUAGGAUGAGGCACUUUUAUUAGUGAACGUCUUCACGCAACCACUUUUUACUGUGAGAAAAUCAGAGUGCUCAAAGCAGGCAUUUGCCGUGAAUGUAUUAGCAUGGAAUAAUAGAAUAGGACUUGGUUCUAUUUUGUUGGUUUGUUGGGACUGAGUAAUGAUUAAGAGGGACAGUUGGGGGCAUUUGUAUUUCGGUGCUAGAGGUGAAAUUCUUAGAUUACCGAAAGACAAACUGCUGCGAAAGCGUCUGCCAAGGAUGUUUUCAUUGA
rnacentral:rRNA from 1 species